CUGGAAUUAGGAAACUGUGAGAGCGUUCUCUGCUUGUUAUGUUCUUACAAUCUGUAUGUGGCAUACUGAAACGAAACACUGCACGUGGAGCAAGUGAAGAGAGUGUGCGAUUGCAAUGUUUAUAUUCUCCCUGUGGCGAGUUGUCGAUGAUUGUCAAAGCAUGGAAAUAGAGUGUUGUGUGAGCAAGCAUAGGUGAAAGGUUCCGUUCCAGAUGAUGAGUUUUGCAUGUUUCUUGCUAUUUUUGGUGCAAAUGAAUGACUCAUUGCGUGUCCCCGAUUAGGUCCAGUUCGUUAAUAUGCUGAUAACGCCAGGCUGAAGUGUAUUGUAGAAAAUAUGAGGCCGUUUCCAGCGAAGUGCAACAUAUCGCCUCGAAGAAAGUGAAUGUGUUUUCCAGAUCGUAAGCUCGUCUGCAUGCAGUCAAAGAAAUCAAAAGUGUUAAAAAUAGUACAUCGAUGGAUACUCAAUUCGGGGGACCCGAAACAGCUUAGUACCGCACGACAUGGGCGUGUUUCUAUGCUUCGGCAGGUUUUGGCUGGCUUAGGCACCAUUUUUGGAUCAACAAGCAAGCAAAAUUGUGUACCCUUUACAAGUGAAGUGUUUCUAGCCUAGUGAGAAGAUUCAGAAAACAUGGGAAACACCCAGGCCUCAACAAGCAAUCCGUCCGGGGAUAGUUCGGCCAAAGGUCAGACAUCUAUUGGGGCCCUGCCAAAGCUUCCCCGACAAUCGCUGGUCAAGGGGAGAAGUUUUAUGAGAUUGGGCCGAAAGAAGCAGUUAGCUUUACUGACACAGGGACAUAAUGAAACGUCGACCGUGGCCUUGGAAGCAGUCGCCUUGGAAUGCAGCAGCCGGUCCGAUUUAAACAGUUCAGCUGGCGGCGAUGAUAUCGAGGAUGGAUUUUCGCAUAUAUUGAUCCAAGACAGUGCUACGGCCAGCGCUCAAGGUCAGCAAAAACAACUGUCGAAAUCAGCUGAUUCUCUGCUAUCGGAAGGAGCCAUCGCUCAGCGAGAGUUUGAGUUUGUUUUGGCGAGGACGGACGAUCUCGGAGCAGCCGGAGAUGAUGCAAAGCGCGCCAAAAUAAACGAUUCGUAUCGUGCUGGAGAUCAUGAAAAGGUGUCGGUGGCCAGGCAAACUAACUCUAUCAACGGCAGCGAUCGUCCACCGCUAGUAGAUACGAGAACCAGUGAUAAUCAUAGUACCGGUGCUGAUGACGUAACAAAAACGCUAGGUCCAGACCGGUCUUGCCAAGUUAUGACGGCACAACCAUCGUCAUUGAAAUCAGCCGCUAUCAACAGUAACAACAAUACACAUCCAAGAAAGAAUGCAUCAUUGGCAGAGGAGUCGCUGACCUCGAUCCACGGAACCGGUAAUAUCAACUCCAUCAACAACCACCAACACCAGCACCAUUCCCCAUUUGAAGCACCAACACAAGCACAUUUGCAGAAGUCCAACGAUGCGAUCGUCAACAACCAGCUCGAGCCCCAUCAGACACUACCAGCACAAUCAAAGCAACCGCAUAAAUUGCCGGCUUCCUCCGGUAACAAUCGCCAUAGUGCUGCUAUAGCAACCGAACCAGACGGCCCAGCAAGUUCGCGAUCACCACCUCACUCCAGUUUAAAACUAGUGCUGGAUUGUGAAGGUACGGUUUCGGUGAAUUCCGCGUUGGGACUGGAAGCAGCAGUCGACCUCGUCGUUCAACCCCAAUCCAAGUCUGAGGGCGCCGCGAGUGAAUCGAUAACAGUGACCACCGAUUCCUGGUUUCAAGCCAAUAAGGUCUCAAAUGAACACCGGAACAGAACAAUAAUAGACUGUCACGAUUCGACCAUCGCUAUUCCACGCCAGCCACCGCAAUGUGGUAAAAGCGAAGGUACCACGGAAUCCACCGGUGAGAGCAAAGUGAUUCGCGUUAUCGAACAUACCACCUCGUCCAGUUCGAAUUCAAUCUUUACAGAUCCAUCUACGCCCCUCGGAACUUUCGCCACCGAAAUAAAUCAGGCCUAUUAUUCGGAGGAAGAUUUACUGGAAGCAACAGCCAAGAACGCACACAUUGAUGAUUCGAGAUCAACGCUAACGAAUCGAUCUGUUCAAUCUAAAUUGCAACAGCUCAGUGUUUACAAAAUCGAACCCAUCGAUAUAUGUUCUGAUCCCAUUGGUUUAUGCUCUGUGCAAGAUCAAGACUCCCAAACGGAAGAAAACAUGACUUCGCUAAACACACGAAGUGCAGCGAUGACCCCGACAUUGCAAAUGCAAUCUGAUGGGACUGACGUAACACAUCCUGACAAGGACAAGGGCAUUUUUAAUAUUGCACGAGUAAAAAAAGUUGAGCUAACAGAGUACAGAACGCCAAAUUUAUCCCUAGUACCAGCUUCGGUGAAUAGUGAGCCACAGCAAUGGAACUCCCCUAGACUUCCGGCCGGAGAAGGAAAUGUCCUGCGGAAGGUCGUUUCGUUGUCAGCUGGAAAAGCAAAUGAACAAACAUCGGUGGCGAGCAGAAUCUCUAGGCCUUCGUUCGUUCCAGAAAAGCUGGAUUUUUCAGCGUACGAGAAGUUUGAAGGUCAUAUGCUGCUGAAUUGGCUCGCCUCAACGCUAACCGCAACGAACGUAAACGAGCAGGAUCUCAAUACCGUAAUGUUGCAGAACUGCACCAAUCUGAUGGUGGCCGGGGUGAUAAGGCAAAUUCCGGAUAAGAUGGCACCAGUCCAGGAAACUUUUCGGCCAAAUUUAAUGUACCAGUGGACACACACCAAAGCUCCAUCUCCUGUGCCGUUGACUCCUGGGCGGCUUGAAGCGCACGUAGUUUGGCCGCAUGCUGCAUCUGCUCCGGAGGCGGAAGCAGAAACGGUAUCAAAUGCUAUUCCCAACCCACCAGAAGCGUCCGAACUAAUUCAAGAAAUUGACAGUCCUAGCGUUGAUAAAACAAGUUCACCAAGCUCAGAACUAACUCCUUCAAAAAAAAUCCGGACAGAGAGCAGUUUAGAAGAAAUUAAGCGUAAAGUGGCUGAAUGUGAAUCGUUAAAUGAUGUUAUUAACAUGCUACGUACAUUCUCUGCCGAAAACAAUCUAACGGAUAUUGUGCAAGCCAAGAAUCGAACGAACAUAUUAAGUGAAUUGCUGAAGGAGAGCGAUGUGACCGUCAAUCCUUCGAGCCAAAAUGAUAAAGAAGUGCAGAAAAGUGUAUCACCACCAACACCGCCCCCUUUUAUUUGUCCAGAAGAAGUGGAACAGCAAUGUAUAACAAAAAAAGCAUCAACCGGAAGUGAUUCCAACACCGUUAACACAAACUUGCAACCUAAUACUAGUUCUAUUGACCCGCGCAGUUGUUCCUUACCGAAUCUCACUAACGGCACUGUGUUCAAUAAUAAUAACAUUAACGAGUCUCAGGGUGCGGUGUAUAUUUGUCAAAACUGCUGUAAGCGAACAGCGUCGCACACUAACGAAACCAGUUCCUACUCAACCGGAAAUGACCUAGUCCCGGAUCCGGAAGGAGAGAUAACAUCUCAAACCAAACAAACGCACCAGGAAACUCAAACAUACUCCCCUUCAGAACCAGUGAUUGCACCACCUCCUCCCCCUCCUCCUCCUGCACCUUGUCUACCUCCCCCACCACCUCCUCCGCCACCUCAACCGGCAUCUUCUACUAUCAGCACCAUUCUUCCACCUCCUCCUCCCCCUCCGCCACUACCCUUUGCAACGACCGCAACAACAGGAGCACCGCCACCUCCACCUCCCGCCCAAAACUGGGGAUCAGGUAAAUUAUCGUCACCUACUCCUUCUUCCGUUAGCAACAAUCAGAUCAGUGGCCAUUGUCCCACCAUAACUAGUGGGGCGCCGCAAGCCACGCCAGUGUUGCCGCCACCAUUACCAUUACCGACACCCACGCCCGGCGGAUGGCAUCAGGCGAAUAAUCUUCGAAAGGACGCCGUGACGCCUCCGAAGCCCAUGAAACCCCUCUACUGGACAAGGAUAAUUGCCCCUAAAGUCAGUAGCGCCACGAAACCAGACUGCGAGUUGCUUCCCGAGUGUACCAAACCAGCGCUUUGGCAGGAGUUGGAAGAAACCGCUAUAGACAACUUACAAGAAUUUACCGAAUUGUUCUCCCGUCAGGUUGUCAUUCCAAAACCCAGAGAAAAAAUGGAAAAACCAGAAAAAACUGUCAAAGUGCUGGAAGGCAAACGAUCGCAAAACGUUGGUAUAUUUGCCAAAAGUCUGCAUGUAGACUUCGAUGAGAUCGAGUCAGCUAUUUGCCACUGUGAUACGUCGAUAGUGAGCCUAGAGGCGCUACAAAAAAUCUUGGAAAUAAAGGCCAGCGACGAAGAACUAGCGCAGAUAAAAGAAGCUGCUGACGGAAACAUUCCUCUGGAUCCACCAGAACAGUUCCUGCUGACCAUCUCCAACAUAAACUCCUUUUCCGAACGAAUAUCGUGCAUUGUGUUCCAGGCAGAAUUCGACGAAUUCUACAUUUCCGUUUCUCGUAAGCUAGAAAUAUUGAGAGAUACCUGUAUAUUCCUGACAGAGAGUCAGGAACUUAAGCAUCUGCUCUCAAUAAUUUUAACACUCGGAAAUUACAUGAACGGUGGCAAUCGAACUCGGGGUCAAGCGGACGGUUUCGGGCUGGAAAUUCUUGGAAAACUUAAGGACGUAAAAUCGAAGGAUAAUAAUGUAACGCUGCUGCACUUCGUUAUCAAAACGUACAUUAGUGAAUGCCGAAAAAAUGGUGUCCUUCUGCAUGAGGUGAAGCUACCGGUACCGGAUCCUGGCGAUCUGGUUCGAGCAGUGGUGGUGGAUUUCGACGAAUGUCGCUCGCAACUGGAUAUGUUGAAGUCAAAAACAGAAGGAUGCCGAAGGAUAACGGACAUCGUAAUUGCCCAGUCCGACGAAAGCAACAUCCAACCGUUUAAGGAAAAAAUGGAGUCCUUCAUUGAAAUGGCGACCAAACGGAUAGAAAGGCAAUUCCGGAAAUUGGACGAGUGCCGGAAAACAUUCGUCGGGACCUUAAUAUUCUACAAGUUCGCACCCAAGACCGGUACUUUGAUCGAAUGUAAACCAGAACAGUUUUUCGAGCUCUGGAUGCCAUUUUCGCAGGACUUUGAAAGCAUCUUCAAGAAGGAAAUUUUACACCUGUCGAAUGAGUUGUUGAAGAAAGUGAAACGGUCACCGGCAAAGCAAUCCUCAACGGGCAAGCUCAAGGCAGGAUCCUUGAAGGAGCGGAUAUUGCGGCUCAGCGGCAAGCCCUAAUUUGUAUGCAAGUAGUGGAGAUGUAAAUAGAGCAAAAAAUUUAGUUCUGUUAUUUUACUUUUGAUUUACGAGAAAAAUUUUCUAGUCGCAGUGUUCAAAUCAAGCAUUGGAGUGAAGCACAUGAUCGGCAACAACGGUUAAGGAUCAUCAAGGAAGUCAAGUCUCAUAUCAGCAUUUUUAAUUUUCAAUAAACGAAAAACUAAAGGUAGAUCGCUGAAAUGUCCAACACAAUUUUCUCCGAUAAGUUGAAAGUGUUGCCUAGUGAUGACUCAUAGAAAUCCAACCUCAAACAACCAUUUUUUGAUAGUUCCAAAGCUCUUAAGCUGUAAAACCGGUACCGAAAAAAAAACGUUCAAAAAUGUGGUCAAAAAUAAUCAAAUUUGUUCAUUUCGAAACAACUGUAUCCACUAAAAUGCUUUCAGUUUCCAGUUUCCAGAGAAGUAUUGGACCAUAAAGUAUCAGAAAUUGAAGAAGGAGAGUGAAGCCACCUAAAAUAUAGAUUUUACGAAGUAUAAGUUGCAGAAACUGAUUAAUACCAUGACCGAAAAAAGUGUGCGCCGGCCAAUGGGAGAUACCAAGAAUAAAGUAGAAAUUUCUUUAACAAAAAACGAUUCGCAAAGUCCAUUCCGGGAAAGGCUUCGCCAGAUGGAAAUGGCGACGAUCGUAGCCAUGGUUGGCAAAAGUGGCAGAUCAAAAAAAGUGGCUAAAGUGGCAGGCAAUUUCGAAUCUCGGGCCAGGUAUUGUGGAGGUUAAAAAAAUUUCUUAGGUUUAAAAACGUUGGGACCAGCAAUAAAUUUUUACGAAAGAGAAGUUUGUUGAAAGAAACACUACUUGUACUGAGUUGUUAUGUGAAAAAUCAGUAAAAAAUUAGGUU